GGGGAAGCCAACUCACAUGGAGCGAUCUGCCUGAGUUGAUCAUGUCGUGUUGGGAUCCUGGAACUUGGUGCCACUGCAUGUGUCUCAGAACCUUGUGUCUUCGUUUGGGUCCAUUCUGCCUUGAUAAUGGGUUGCUCAGUAAACAUUGAAGCCUAUGUUACAGAAGAAAAAAGGAAAAAUGAAGAAUGGAAGGAAGGGAGGGGGAUAAGCCAGGAAAGGAUAUAUAAAGAUAUAGAGGUGGGCAAAGGAGAACAUGGUUCUAAUCCCCAGCAUUAGAGAGGUGAAAGCCAAAGGAUCAAAAGUUAAAGGUAGGUAAUCACUACAUAGUAUGUUUGAGGCCAUCUUUUGCUCCAUGAGACCCUAUUUCUUCAGGACUUAAUAAGG
rnacentral:lncRNA from 1 species